CAGUUGGUAGCACAGUGGUAGAGUGCAUUCUUGGUGUAUGACUUCCUGGGUUCAAAUCCCAGCAAAUGAG